AACACCAUAGCUCACGUUGGCAGUGCAUGAGGCUCUUAAUCUCAGGGUUGUGGGUUUGAGCCCUACAUUGGGCAAAAGUUU